GCUAGCAGCCAUAUCACCCUGCAACUCACAACUGGCAACCCACUGAAGCUAAGCAGGUGUGAGCCUGGUCAGUACCUGGAUGGGAGACCUCCUGGGAAAAACUAAGGUUCCUCUGGAA
ensembl:rRNA 5S_rRNA 5S ribosomal RNA